rnacentral:rRNA from 1 species
AGAGUUUGAUCCUGGCUCAGGAUGAACGCUAGCUACAGGCUUAACACAUGCAAGUCGAGGGGCAUCAGGAAGAAAGCUUGCUUUCUUUGCUGGCGACCGGCGCACGGGUGAGUAACACGUAUCCAACCUGCCCUUUACUCGGGGAUAGCCUUUCGAAAGAAAGAUUAAUACCCGAUGGCAUAAUGAUUCCGCAUGGUUUCAUUAUUAAAGGAUUCCGGUAAAGGAUGGGGAUGCGUUCCAUUAGGUUGUUGGUGAGGUAACGGCUCACCAAGCCUUCGAUGGAUAGGGGUUCUGAGAGGAAGGUCCCCCACAUUGGAACUGAGACACGGUCCAAACUCCUACGGGAGGCAGCAGUGAGGAAUAUUGGUCAAUGGGCGAGAGCCUGAACCAGCCAAGUAGCGUGAAGGAUGAAGGCUCUAUGGGUCGUAAACUUCUUUUAUAUAAGAAUAAAGUGCAGUAUGUAUACUGUUUUGUAUGUAUUAUAUGAAUAAGGAUCGGCUAACUCCGUGCCAGCAGCCGCGGUAAUACGGAGGAUCCGAGCGUUAUCCGGAUUUAUUGGGUUUAAAGGGAGCGUAGGUGGACUGGUAAGUCAGUUGUGAAAGUUUGCGGCUCAACCGUAAAAUUGCAGUUGAUACUGUCAGUCUUGAGUACAGUAGAGGUGGGCGGAAUUCGUGGUGUAGCGGUGAAAUGCUUAGAUAUCACGAAGAACUCCGAUUGCGAAGGCAGCUCACUGGAGUGUAACUGACGCUGAUGCUCGAAAGUGUGGGUAUCAAACAGGAUUAGAUACCCUGGUAGUCCACACAGUAAACGAUGAAUACUCGCUGUUUGCGAUAUACAGUAAGCGGCCAAGCGAAAGCGUUAAGUAUUCCACCUGGGGAGUACGCCGGCAACGGUGAAACU